UACAGAGGGGGCCAGCGUUAUUCGGAAUUACUGGGCGUAAAGCGUGCGCAGGCGGUUCGUUGUGUCGGCGGUGAAAGCCCCGGGCUUAACCUGGGAAUGGCCGUUGAAACUGGCGAACUGGAGUGUGGCAGAGGGGGGUGGAAUUCCGCGUGUAGCAGUGAAAUGCGUAGAGAUGCGGAGGAACACCGAUGGCGAAGGCAGCCCCCUGGGCUAACACUGACGCUCAGGCACGAAAGCGUGGGGAGCAAACAGG
rnacentral:rRNA from 1 species